ACGCAUCUGACAAUACACUUUUUUUAUGUUGACGUACUUUCUUACAUUUGUCUAUCUCUCUCGCCCGAUCUACUUUCUUUCUCUCUCUCCCCCCAACCAGUUUGAACGUGCAGAUCGGCGAUCUACGCUCUUUCACUCUCUUGUUUCUUUCUUUUCAUGUCUCUCCCCCCGAACGAAGAUCAGCUGAAGCUUUUGAGAAAACAGGACCCAACUGAGGGUAGCAGAACCGGAGCGAAGCUCUGUGAACAAACAACAACCAAACUGGUGAAUAACUCCAUCAACGUGCAGAUCGGCGAGACCCAGAAGUUUAAACACCGUGAACUCCGGCGAGCUUCAGUUCAGUACAGAGAUCUCCGGCGAGCUCUCUUACUCCCUCUACCAGACCAGGAAGCAAAUCGAACACUACCGACGCGCCGAACCAACUGAAGCUAGCAGAACCGGCGUGAAGCUCUGUGAGCAAACAACAACCAAACUGGUGAAUAACUCCAUCAACGUGCAGAUCGGCGAGACCCAGAAGUUUAAACACCAGUACAGAGAUCUCCGGCGAGCUCUCUUACUCUCUCUACCAGACCAGGAAGCAAAUCGAACACUACCACCGCGCCGAACCAACUGAAGCUAGCAGAACCAGCGUUACCAAACUGAACGGUGAAGAAGUGAAGACCGGCGAGACCCAGAAGUUUAAACACCAUGAACUCCGGCGAUUCAGUUCAGUACAGAGAUAAACCAAUCGCCGUGAACAGUUCCGGCGAGCCCAUUAACAAAUCCAGAAGUGCGCGUGCUCCUGUUUAGGCAAACUUCAGUUUCGGUGAGUCAAUCCGGCGAGACGAGAAGUUCCGGUGAGCUCCAGCGAAGCCUCAACCUUCUCGACCCAACUGCAGUAAUGUUUUCCGGCGUGUUUCAGCGAUGACCGACGCGAGCUACAACAAACAACGUCGACCAAACUUCAGAGACAAGUUUAAGUCCGGCACCUAGAGUUCUCUAACUCCGGCGAGGCUCAAUCCACUCCGGCGAGUUUCAGUGAGUUGCCGGUGCGAACUUCAGGCGUAGCUUCAGUUCGUAGCACCUCUGUUACGGUGACCAGGCUGUUUCGGCGAGCUUCAAUCACUCCCAACUGCUCAGGCGAGUUUCAGUGUGUUACCGGUCCAAACUUACAGAUCCAAAGUGAAAACCCAUAUCAGAUUCCGCAUAGAACCGGGUUUGGUAUUGGAGAGGAAAUUGCCGGUGCUUGUACCUUUAUUUUUGUGGACUGAUCACCUAUUCAGUGACGGUUGUAAUGCACACACCAAAUAUUAUAUCGAACAGGACCUCAACCCCCCCUUGGGCAUCUAUGUGAAAUUUGUGUUUGUUCCAUAGCCAGAUCUGAAUUUGAGAAAAAGGAAUCGAAAUCCAAGACAUCUGGCGGUUAUCCUAUGAGCACUGGUCUUGGGAUUUUGAAAACUUAUUCUAGUCAAACUCCUCAGCUGGUCAAUAUUUUUGGGUUGACGGGCAGCCAAGCAUUCCUUUUGCGCUCAGGCAGACUGAUCUCCGCUUCUGAUUUUGUUUCCAAGCUUGAGGCAUCUCCUGGUGGAAUAUACCUUUCCAAAGACGAAUAUUGCCAAUGGUUGGCUGCUGCUCCAAAAAAGGAUUUUAUGGUAGAGCUUUUAAUGGAAGGCUGGUUAUGCGUUGUUGGAACAAAUGUGAAAUUAUUAGAUUCUAUAAAGACUGUUGUUGGAGAAAGACCUAGUUCUAUUUGUGCAUACGUUGAUGGGUCUUAAUGGCUUCCUUUAAGCGCACUAAAGGAAGCCAUUAAGACCCAUCAACGUAUGCACAAAUAGAACUAGGUCUUUCUCCAACAACAGUCUUUAUAGAAUCUAAUAAUUUCACAUUUGUUCCAACAACGCAUAACCAGCCUUCCAUUAAAAGCUCUACCAUAAAAUCCUUUUUUGGAGCAGCAGCCAACCAUUGGCAAUAUUCGUCUUUGGAAAGGUAUAUUCCACCAGGAGAUGCCUCAAGCUUGGAAACAAAAUCAGAAGCGGAGAUCAGUCUGCCUGAGCGCAAAAGGAAUGCUUGGCUGCCCGUCAACCCAAAAAUAUUGACCAGCUGUAACAAUAUUAUAUUAGUACAAAAACAAUAUAAAAAAGGGCAUGAAAAUUAAAGAUGCAAAAAGCCUUUUGAGAAAAUGCAAAUACCCCAUCACCGGCGAAGCGGGUAUAGGUGUAGUAUUUGUGAAUGUAUUUGGAAAAUAUAUUAGUUAUGUUAGCAAGCGCGUGGGUCGUUUGAGUGAUCCCGAAGAAGCUGAACUAAGCGCACUAAAGGAAGCCAUUAAAAUUGCCAACGAUUCAAAUUAUAGUGACUUCAUUGUCUAUUCUGAUUCCUCGGACAUGGUUAAAGGGAUGAAGUUGAACCCGGCCAGCGAUAAAUUCUACGAAGCACAACUGAAAUUUCCUAAUAUCUAUGCGUGAGUACAUUUUGUUCCAUCAUUCUUUAGUCCAUUUUAUUUAUUUAUUUAUUUUUAUAAUUUGUUUUUAAUAUACUGAUUUUUUAUUUGAUCAGAAAUUUGCAUGCUGAGGCGUCUAAAAUCACGUGUUUCCGAAUAUCAUUUGUAUUCCGAGAGAGGAAAACCGCUGCCGAUUUUUGCGCUAACGCGGCUUUAAGGGAGCUCCGGUGUCCCAAAGAUUAUGUAGAGACUCUUGUCCUGAAAGAUCACACUGUGAAAAAUUUCAGGUUUUAUCGGAAAGUUCUUGCUAUAGAAGAGGUUGGCGGAAGAAAGUGGUCACCGCAGGUGGAGUGGUUGUUUCUUGACCUUCCAGAUUCCCACAAGGAAGGACUUUUGGUGGUUGUGAAAAUUCUGUUCCAUGGAAUGUCAUCUGAUACUAUUGAUACUUUAGGUGGUUUAUUAAUAUAUGUGGUUAUCAUACUUUUGAACAUGGUAUAUCUCGGUGGUUUAUUAUAUAGGUGAAUAUAUCUCUGUUUGGAUGUCACAUGUAUGAAUGUCAUGGGAAUAUCUCGGUGGUUUAUAUAAUGCGGGUGUCGGUUUAUUAUAUAGUUGAAUAUAUCUCUUUAAUUGCGAGAUUGUGGAUAUUAUAUGUAUGAACAUGUGUAGUGUAGUGUUUUAUUA